rnacentral:piRNA from 1 species
UCCCCAUGUUAAAAUCCUAAGUACCUAAGA